ensembl:lncRNA
UUCAAUUGUUAUAACAAGUUGUUGAGCAGAAGGUCAUGAUAAUAUGAUACAAUAGUUAAUUUGCAAUGUUCAGUAUGCAGUGCAUGCAUAAUUAUUAGUCAACAUCCUGAUAAUAUUUUCCAAGCACAUUUUACCAAGUCCAAUUCCAAUCCUAUAUUAUACUUCUACAUUAAGUAAGUAACUGAUCGCAGUGUGCACCUUAAGCCAUCAGCGAGUUUCCUUUCUUUAGGUUGUGCAGAUAUAACCACCAUUGCACUGACAGGACCUGGCUGGACUCUCUAGAAAUACCAGUGGUCACUUUAGUUGGAGUCAGUGUUAGCUAGACUUGUUCCUGGAGGCCCACCAACAGUGCAUGUCUUGGACAUCUCACUAAUCUGACACAAAUUCUCUGCUCAGUUUCAGUACAGCUAAACUGGAGGAACUGCACUGAUGCCAAGCUGAGAGUAAUGUGCAGUCUGGUACAUUAGUGCAACAAUAUGGUUACACAGGAACAACUACACUGGGACAUUAUGACAGAUCUGAAACAAGUCACCUGAAACAUCUCUCCUGUCACCAGGCAGACUCUUUACAGACACUGAUGGGAUUAUCAGGCGGAAGCGGUAUUUGUCCUCCAUUUUCUCUUCCUAAGUGCCAGGGACCUGGAUUUGGCUGGUUUAAAGACCAUCCUUGCCCAUGUAAAGAGUCUCUCUAAUCCUUGUCUCUCUAAGAGUCUCUCUAAGCCAGCGACAUCCUGCCCUUGAUGUUGCUGUGACAGUCAGAUGAUCCAUAUAAGCUUGAAUGGGCGAUUGUUGAAUACUGGCCUAGUGCACCCAGUAAUGUUGCCUUUUGCUAGGCGAUGUCAUGCGGAAGUUGUUGUCCCAGAGGUAAAUCUCAAGCUGAAGUUUCUAUAAGGUAUCUGGGGCUUCUUGUCUGUGUGGUUCUCUGAUGCUGCUACUUGUUCCUGACCCUCUUUUAGUACUUUACCACAAAAAUGUGUAGCAUUUUACAUGCAUAUCUUAUUGAAUGAUGCCACACUGGUUGCUUAUUUCAUAAAUGUUGUGUGGCCUUUGUUUGUUUGCUUACAAGCACCAAAAACUAUUUACUUUAGAGCAGCGGUUCCCAGUUUCCCAGUUCCGGUCCUCUCCCCCCUACAUGCAUG